UACGGAGGAUGCAAGCGUUAUCCGGAUUUAUUAGGUUUAAAGGGUGCGUAGGUGGGCGUUUAAGUCAGUGGUUAAAGCCAUUAGCUUAACUAAUGUAUGCCAUUGAUACUGGAUGUCUUGAAUGUGGUAGAGGUAGGCGGAAUGUGUUGUGUAGCGGUGAAAUGCUUAGAUAUAACACAGAACACCGAUUGCGAAGGCAGCUUACUAUUCCAUUAUUGACGCUGAUGCACGAAAGCGUGGGGAUCAAACAGGAUUAGAUACCCUGGUAGUCCACGCUGUAAACUAUGAUCACUCGUUUUUGGCGAUAUAUAGUCAGAGACUGAGCGAAAGCAUUAAGUGAUCCACCUGGGGAGUACGUUCGCAAGAAUGAA
rnacentral:rRNA from 1 species